rnacentral:rRNA from 1 species
AGCGAACGCUGGCGGCAGGCCUAACACAUGCAAGUCGAACGAGCUCUUCGGAGUUAGUGGCGGACGGGUGAGUAACACGUGGGAACGUGCCUUUAGGUUCGGAAUAACUCAGGGAAACUUGUGCUAAUACCGAAUGUGCCCUUCGGGGGAAAGAUUUAUCGCCUUUAGAGCGGCCCGCGUCUGAUUAGCUAGUUGGUGAGGUAAAGGCUCACCAAGGCGACGAUCAGUAGCUGGUCUGAGAGGAUGAUCAGCCACAUUGGGACUGAGACACGGCCCAAACUCCUACGGGAGGCAGCAGUGGGGAAUCUUGCGCAAUGGGCGAAAGCCUGACGCAGCCAUGCCGCGUGAAUGAUGAAGGUCUUAGGAUUGUAAAAUUCUUUCGCCGGGGACGAUAAUGACGGUACCCGGAGAAGAAGCCCCGGCUAACUUCGUGCCAGCCGCCGCAGUAA